GUGAAGUUUUAUUCUUGCUUUUUCAUUCAAUGUUUGUUUGUUUUAUAUGUAAGUUUUUGCGUGGGUUUGUUCAUUUCUCUAAAUGGGUAUGGAUUUUUAUUAUUAAUUCUCAUUAGUUAUUAUUGGCUGGUCAAGUACCCUUGUAUUUAGCAAUUCAUUUUAGUUUCGGUUAAAUUUUGUGCCAGCAGCCGCGGUUAUACCUUGGAGGCACUUGAAUGUGUUUGGUGUUGUAGUUAUUAUGUUUAAUCUUUGAUUUUAUUUUGUUCGUUCAUUAGGUGAAAUUUUUAUUGUUAUUUUAUGUCAUUUAAUUAUUUGGAGGCUAUGAAAUUCCUUUUAUAGACUAGGAUUAGAUACCCUAUUAUUUUGGAUUGUUAAUUUUAGUGCCUGAGUAGUAUUAGUUAUGUUCUUGAAACUUAAAGAAUUUGGCGGUAUCUUAUUCCAUUCAGAGGAAUCUGUCUCGUUAUCGAUAGUCCGCGUUGGACCUUACUUAGUUGCUUUGGUUUGUAUACCGCCGUUUAUUGAUUAUCUUUUUAGAGUUUAUUUAAUUUUCUGGUUUCUUUAUUUUGAUUUAUUUCAGGUCAAGGUGCAGCUUGUUUCUAAGUGGAAUGAUGGGUUACAUUGGUAUUUGUUUAUUGGAUUGCUGGUUUCAAUACUGGUAUGAAAUUGGAUUUGGUUGUAAUGUUUUGUAGAUUGUUUUCAUGAUAAUUGGUUCUGGGAUAUGUACACAUCGCCCGUCGCUCUCGUUUAUUUGUUAAUGAGAUAAGUCGUAACAAAGUGGUUGUACCGGAAGGUGCAGCUGGAUUGAU
rnacentral:ncRNA from 1 species